rnacentral:lncRNA from 10 species
AGAGAUUUGACAAAGUCCUGGCUGACUCAAUAGGAAGAUUUGGGGUUGCCCAUCAGAGAAGUCCUGUAGUGGGCAGGCAUGGCCAGGCCCUGGUAUCUGCCAGACUGGAGGCUGCCUGGGAAGAACAUGGCCUUGGCACAAAGGCUUUAACAGAUCUCACAGGCUUUGCAGCCAGAAGCUGUCAGCUAACUGCACUCCUCACAGCUCAAUGACUUUUUUUUUUUUUUUAAGAAAAGAUCAGAAUUGCAUGUUUCCAUACCUCCCACA